rnacentral:rRNA from 1 species
AUUGAACGCUGGCGGCAGGCCUAACACAUGCAAGUCGAGCGGGGUUUUCGGACCUAGCGGCGGACGGGUGAGUAAUGCGUAGGAAGCUACCCGAUAGAGGGGGAUACCAGUUGGAAACGACUGUUAAUACCGCAUAACGUCUACGGACCAAAGUGUGGGACCUUCGGGCCACAUGCUAUCGGAUGCGCCUACGUGGGAUUAGCUAGUUGGUGGGGUAAUGGCUCACCAAGGCGACGAUCCCUAGCUGGUUUGAGAGGAUGAUCAGCCACACUGGAACUGAGACACGGUCCAGACUCCUACGGGAGGCAGCAGUGGGGAAUAUUGGACAAUGGGCGCAAGCCUGAUCCAGCCAUGCCGCGUGUGUGAAGAAGGCCUUCGGGUUGUAAAGCACUUUCAGUAGGGAGAAAGAGUUGAGUGUUAAUAGUACUCAGCUUUGACGUUACCUACAGAAGAAGCACCGGCUAACUCUGUGCCAGCCGCCGCGGUAAGAC